GACGAAGGGGGCUAGCGUUGUUCGGAAUUACUGGGCGUAAAGCGCGUGUAGGCGGUUGUUCAAGUCAGGUGUGAAAGCCUUGAGCUCAACUCAAGAAAUGCACUUGAUACUGGAUGACUAGAGGACCGGAGAGGAUAGUGGAAUUCCCAGUGUAGUGGUGAAAUACGUAGAGAUUGGGAAGAACACCAGUGGCGAAGGCGGGUCUCUGGACAGUUCCUGACACUGAGACACGAAGGCCAGGGGAGCAAACGGG
rnacentral:rRNA from 1 species